rnacentral:tRNA from 1 species
GGAGGGAUACCGAAGUGGUCAUAACGGGGCGGUCUUGAAAACCGUUAGGCGGCAACGUCACGCGGGUUCGAAUCCUGCUCCCUCCGCCA